AGCAGCCGCGGUAAUUCCAGCUCCAAUAGCGUAUAUUAAAGUUGUUGCAGUUAAAAAGCUCGUAGUUGAACUUCGGGGUUUACUCAUUGGUCAGGCUUAAUUGUCUGUACUGGUGAGAUGAAUCUCUACCUUCUGAGGAACUUUCAUGCCAUUUAUUUGGUGUGGUUGGAAAUCAGGACUGUUACUUUGAAAAAUUAGAGUGUUUAAAGCAGGCUAACGUCUGAAUACAUUAGCAUGGAAUAAUGAAAUAGGACGGAUUGAUUCUAUUUCGUUGGUUUCUAGGGUCACCGUAAUGAUUAAUAGGGAUAGUUGGGGGCAUUAGUAUUCAAUUGUCAGAGGUGAAAUUCUUGGAUUUAUUGAAGACUAACUACUGCGAAAGCAUUUGCCAAGGAUGUUUUCAUUAAUCAAGAACGAAAGUUAGGGGAUCGAAGACGAUCAGAUACCGUCGUAGUCUUAACCAUAAACUAUGCCGACUAGGGAUCGGACGAAGUUAAUUAAUAAUGACGCGUUCGGCACC
rnacentral:rRNA from 1 species